UUUAGCUCUGAGAGGUUAAUUGUGAUCAUAGGGGAAACCACACUGUCACCUUCUAAUAGAUGCCAAGGAUUCCAAUUGCUUUGGUAAUAAUCAGGAUGGAUGGCCUUCCUGAAAUGAUGAGCAAAUCAAAACCAUGUGCACACCCAGGGAGGGGGGAGCCUGUCUGCCUGUGCUGCCCUCUCCCUGCCCCUGAACAGACGCUGUGCAGGGACACAGACCUGCUUUGGUCUCUGCUGUACUUGUGCUGAGGACGGUGCUGAACCCAACAGGCAAUCAGGGCCUUUGUCUUGAGUCCACCCAGUUCCCACUGUGAAGCCCUUUUCUGGAAGCUAAUUGGAGCUUUGCUGGCUGCCCUGAUUGCUGUUUUAAAGCAGAGAGGGCAGUUGAAAAGGAGGGAAAUUAUGAAUUGGGUUAAAAAAAAACAUUUUUUGAUGUACUUCUCCAAGCAAGAGGGAAGCAGAAGAACAUGGCCAAGAGGCUCCAUCUGCAAACGGGGGUGAGCUCCGAGCCCCUUUCACCCCACACAGGACAGCAGAGGGCGGCUGGGCCACCUGUGAUCCUUCACUGAUCGGUACUGAAUACUGGCCAGCGGGGUCCUCACAGCCCCUCAGUGUCCGCGGCGCCUCCGCUCGGGUCUGCCAGGGCCUUGGCCUCCCUGGGCUCUGCCAGCACCAGGCACACAGACCCAGGAGGUGGUCACCAUGGAAACAUCAUUACUUCUCUCGCUGAGUGCCGCCCAACCGGUCAGAAACAAAGGGAGGCUCGGUGGAAAUGCACACUGUUCAGCAAAAAAAUCCUGUUCACAGGAGAAUCUACCUGGACAUCUUUAUUAAAUGUUGUAAAUACUGGUUU